AUGCGCCUCGGCCUCGGCACUUUCGACACCGCUCACGAAGCCGCCCGCGCUUACGACGCGGUCGCGUGGCGCCUCCGGCGGCCUCGUAGGGACAUGAACUUCCCCGACGUGUCGAUGCGGGAGCGAGCGCAGGAGCUCGCGCCUCCCCCGCGGCUUAUCACCGAUGAGGAUCGUCGUGACAACCGAAGGUGGGAGCGCCGUCUCGGCCUCGCCGAGAUGGACGAGGAAGCUAUAGCGCUGUGGCACGAACGCUUCCCGCAAGACAUCAUCAACGAGCAUCAGUUGUACGCGCAAAGGAGGGCGGAGCGAGCCGCCUAUCGCGAGGACAAGAAUACGCGGAAGGCGGCCACUCAAUUCAACAUCGACCUAGGAGCAGCGUCGUCCUUGGACUCCAACGACGAUCGGUACCUUGACGCCUUCAUUGAGACGUCGGAGGAGGACAUCACCGAGGCGGAGUUGUAG
rnacentral:rRNA from 1 species